AGGACUGCUGGAGGACCGCAGA
rnacentral:miRNA from 1 species